rnacentral:rRNA from 1 species
UGAGGAAUAUUGGACAAUGGGCGCAAGCCCGAUCCAGCCAUGCCGCGUGCAGGAUGACGGUCCUAUGGAUUGUAAACUGCUUUUGUACAGGAAGAAACAGUUCUACGUGUAGAACCUUGACGGUACUGUAAGAAUAAGGAUCGGCUAACUCCGUGCCAGCAGCCGCGGUAAUACGGAGGAUCCAAGCGUUAUCCGGAAUCAUUGGGUUUAAAGGGUCCGUAGGCGGUUAGAUAAGUCAGUGGUGAAAGCCCAUCGCUCAACGGUGGAACGGCCAUUGAUACUGUCUGACUUGAAUUAUUAGGAAGUAACUAGAAUAUGUAGUGUAGCGGUGAAAUGCUUAGAGAUUACAUGGAAUACCAAUUGCGAAGGCAGGUUACUACUAAUGGAUUGACGCUGAUGGACGAAAGCGUGGGUAGCGAACAGGAUUAGAUACCCCGGUAGUCCCUGAGCGGGCUGGCAAGGCGCAU